GCCUGCCCAGUGACAAAGUUCAACGGCCGCGGUACCCUAACCGUGCGAAGGUAGCAUAAUCACUUGUUCUUUAAAUAGGGACUCGUAUCAACGGCAUCACGAGGGCUAUACUGUCUCCUUUCUCCAAUCAGUGAAACUGAUCUUCCCGUGAAGAAGCGGGAAUUAUCAUAUAAGACGAGAAGACCCCAUGGAGCUUUAAACUCAAUAUAUAUUUCUACGCAUUUAUAUCACUAUAGCCCAAGAAAAUUAUAUGUUGGUUUUGGGUUGGGGGGACCGCGGAGAAAAAAUUAACCUCCACGACAAAUAGGCCAACGCCUUUAUCUACGAACCACAAUUCUAAGAAUCAAUAAACUGAUGUUUAAUGAUCCAAUUUUUUUGAUCAACGAACCAAGUUACCCUGGGGAUAACAGCGCAAUCUACUUCAAGAGCUCCUAUCGACAAGUGGGUUUACGACCUCGAUGUUGGAUCAGGGUAUCCUAGUGGUGCAGCCGCUACUAAAGGUUCGUUUGUUCAACGAUUAAAACCCUACGUGAUCUGAGUUCAGACGGGA
rnacentral:rRNA from 1 species